rnacentral:tRNA from 1 species
GGCGUAGCGCAGUUGGUAGCGCACCUGGUUUGGGACCAGGGGUCGCAGGUUCGAAUCCUGUCGCC